GAUGAACGCUGGCGGCGUGCUUAACACAUGCAAGUCGAACGAUGAAGCCCAGCUUGCUGGGUGGAUUAGUGGCGAACGGGUGAGUAACACGUGAGUAACCUGCCCUUAACUCUGGGAUAAGCCUGGGAAACUGGGUCUAAUACCGGAUAGGAGCGUCCACCGCAUGGUGGGUGUUGGAAAGAUUUAUCGGUUUUGGAUGGACUCGCGGCCUAUCAGCUUGUUGGUGAGGUAAUGGCUCACCAAGGCGACGACGGGUAGCCGGCCUGAGAGGGUGACCGGCCACACUGGGACUGAGACACGGCCCAGACUCCUACGGGAGGCAGCAGUGGGGAAUAUUGCACAAUGGGCGCAAGCCUGAUGCAGCGACGCCGCGUGCGGGAUGACGGCCUUCGGGUUGUAAACCUCUUUCAGUAGGGAAGAAGCGAAAGUGACGGUACCUGCAGAAGAAGCACCGGCUAACUACGU
rnacentral:rRNA from 1 species